AAUAAUGGCUAGUGCAACAACAAAUACCACCACCACAAGGAUGUGGAGAGCAAUAGGAUCAACAAAGUAAUAUUGUAAAAUUUAAGAAGUUAUCUUAUCGGCUUUCAAGGAGACUAUUGGACUUUUGGAAGUCGGCAAUUGGAUUAUGGAGAUCAAGAAGAUGUUUGCCAUCCAGGAGUAUCGCGAUAAUGAAAAAAUUCAUUAUGUAACUUAUUUGUUAUGAGGUGAAGCGUUUAAUUGGUGAUAGAGAUGGGAAUGAAAAUAUGAACAAGAUGGGGAGCAACUCAUUUGGGAG
rnacentral:lncRNA from 1 species